GAAAAAGUACGCAAGAACUGCUAAUUCAUGCGUCCAUGCAUAAAACCAUGGCUUUUUCA
rnacentral:tRNA from 1 species